GUCUAAGUUCAAGCCGUUGCGUACGGUGAAACCGCGAAAGGCUCAUUAAAUCAGUUAUGGUUCCUUAGAUCGUACCCACAAUUACUUGGAUAACUGUGGUAAUUCUAGAGCUAAUACAUGCCAAUAGAGUUCCGACCGGCGGCUGGGGUGUCGUUGCGGAGACGUAGUGGCUCCUGGCUGUUUGGAAGGAACGCUUUUAUUAGAUCAAGACCGGCCAGGUGGUGCGCGUCUUUUCCAAACUUCUGUUUGGGGCGUGCAUUGCCAGCGGCUCGCGUAAUGACUUGGUGACUCUGAAUAACUUGCAGCUGAUCGCAUGGCCUCAGUGCCGGCGACGCAUCUUUCAAAUGUCUGCCUUAUCAACUGUCGACGGUAGGUUCGUCGCCUACCGUGGUGGUAACGGGUAACGGGGAAUCAGGGUUCGAUUCCGGAGAGGGGGCCUGAGAGACGGCCACCACUUCUAAGGAAGGCAGCAGGCGCGCAAAUUACCCACUCCCGGCACGGGGAGGUAGUGACGAAAAAUAACGAUACGGGACUCUUAUGAGGCCCCGUAAUCGGAAUGAGUACACU
rnacentral:rRNA from 1 species